GCAGCCGAGCCUCCUGGAAGGGACCCUCUCCAACCUGCUGAGCUGCCUGCAAGCCGUGCAGUGUGUUUCAGGCUCUCAGAGCUGUCACCCACGCCUGGCGCCACCCUGUGGGAUCCGGACGCACUGCUGCUCCGUGGGCCCUGUGAUGACGGCCUUCAACUCUUCUGAGCUACUCCAGCCACACGUCCUCCUCUGGCUAGCUGAACCUGACUCCUAGCCGCCAGUGGCCUUUGCUCUGGCUGUGAAGGGGAGCUAGGUGUGGAAGAGACCUGGAAAUAGUCACGGAUGGGUUUGGAGUCCUACAGCACUGCUGUGAAGGACCGCAAAUUAAGCUCUGAGGAUGACCUGACUCCAUCAGCCCCUGCUUGGCCGAGAGGCUCCCAAUGUCACUUCUGGUCUCCUUGGACUGGUAUCAUCAGUCCCACAAACUUGGAUUAUUUUCUUUUACCCAGUGCAUAGUGAUCCAGAGAUGAGAUGAAGCCACAGUCCCUUUGGGAG